CUUUAAGCAAGGUUAUAGCUGAAUUAUCUUGGCUCUCUCGCUUAGUUGCUGAUCUUGGGUAUCUGUUCCUUCUCCUAUUUCUGUUUUUUGUGAUAGUCAGGCUGCUGUUCACAUUGCUAUUAACCCUGUUUUCCAUGAGCGUACUAAGCAUAUUGAGGUGGAUUGUCAUUAUGUUCGCGCUUUGUUACACAAUGGUUUCCUCAACUAUUUUUUGUCCAAUCGGAGAAAAAUGAAUUGAUAAGGAAAAUAUUUUCCAAAAUAUUUAAGCCAACCAAACAUGAGAAAAUUGGAAAAUAUUUUCCGAUAGAUAUUUUCCUUCCUGCCAAACAAACCCUUUGUGUUUAGUCUUUUUCAAGGAAGCCCCUUCUUAAUGUGCUACAUCCCACACACCAUAUCGGCAUGCUGUGUAAUAUUAACCUGAUAGUAUUUGUGUUCAUGUCCAGUCCCGAGGAAUUUCAGAUUAUUGGAAGAGCUCGAAAGAGGAGAAAAGGGAAUAGGGGAUGGAACUGUCAGCUACGGGAUGGAUGACGCGGAUGAUGUGUUCAUGCAGUCAUGGACAGGAACUAUAAUUGGUCCUCCUAAUGUAGGCUUUCUUUCUCAGCUCUUUCAUAUUUUUUCUUGUAACUCCUCAUUUUCUGUGCUCUUGAAUAGCUUGAUCGUGUUUUCCUGUUGCUCCAUUUGAAUGCAAGUGAUUUGACAUCUAUUUAUUUGCACAUAGAAAUCAUAUUUUUGGAUGUAAAAUUUAUGAGGUCCAACUCUCAUGUUGAUAUCUAAAGUAUGUUAUUAGUCAUUUUCGAAGGAUUUCAAUCCUGUCAAUUUAGAUGUCAAUUGGAAUCUUACUACUCCAGUUGUAGGACUAACAAAGUAAAAAAAAUAUUUGAGUUCUUUCAAUGAAAAUACUUGUCACAUUAACAUGAGGAGUUUUCUCAUUAUGAAUUCACAUCAAUCAAUUGAAAUGGGACCUACAGUUAAUCAAAUUCCAGGUUUAGGAUUUAUUGAUAUAUCCUGCUUAUUCAAUAACUAUCGAGCUGUACUGUUGUGACGAGUUAGUCCCUCAUGGUACUUUUCUUCUGUUAAUGUAAAUGAGUCUUUCAAUUUGGUUUUGGGGCUGAGCUACUGUUAACUUUGUUGAGUAUUUGAUCACACUUCGUCUAUGUUAUAGAUUUGAUGUUGCAUUUACUGUUGGACGCCUUAUGGUGGCUAUCCAAAAAUUAACGCUAAGAUGUUGUUGAGAGCAAGGGGACUUGGGGCUGAUUAUGCCUUAUCUAUAUGCUAAUUUAUUGGAGAAAGUUUAUUUUGGGUUAAUUAGAAAAGAGCAGCUACAAGUCCAUUCAUUUUGAACAGGUCGCAGCAGUAGAAAAAGAAGAAGAAGAGGGUGCCUAAAGCCUUGGUGGAAAGAAUUACUUGGUACCUGAGCUAGUGGGAGGUAGCAGGUACCCAGUUGAAUAGUCGAGGUGCAUACAAGAUUGCUCGAACCGUUGUCACCACCGUUAUCCCAGGAUGUCAAUUUUGACUCAUAAUGAAUUUUCAUAUGCUAAAGAACAUGUGACACAAUCCGUUCACAAUAAGAAUUUGACUCAUUGUCAUUUAGAGUCUUCUAAACAAAGAAUGAUAUAAUGCAUGUAAUAGGGUGUAAUAGUUAGGGAGCAGUGGUAAUGACCCUGGUCCAGGAGGAAGAAGGUUGAAGGUAAGCAGUAGAAGUAGUAGCAAAGGGAAGAAAAUGCAGAAAGGGAGAGAGCGUAGGAUUCCUGCCAAAAAACAGGAUGCUGGAUAUGAGUUAUAUCCAUUUAUAAUCUGCUAAAGAAAGAAUGAUACAGUGCGUAUAGGACAUAAUUGUGAGGAACCAAGAGUGAUGGCUUAGAGUGCAAAUGUGAAUUUGUAAUUAGUUGGAGGCCCAGACUUUCUUUGCCACUUAAUAACUUGACAAGCAAGUUUGUGCACAGGACUUUGUUUCAAAUACAUCUAAAAAUAAUUAAGUUUCCGCCUUAAGGAACUAGGGACGCACUUGAGCCACAAAAACAUUGAAAAUUACGCUUAGAUUUUCAUCGAAGGGCUUCAAUCUUUAAACUCGGACUGUUUGGCGAUAAGAAGAUGGUAGAGUUGAAAGUAGCAUACGUAUCCUACUGUAAAUAGCAGAAACUAACAAUAGAAAAAUAUCCUAGUGUAGAUUGCAGAAACUAGAAUAAUAAGGUAGAUGGAGUUACCCGGUAGCUGUUAUUGAUGAGAGGUAACAGGUAUCCCAUGGAAUUAGUCGAGUUGCGCGCAAGCCGGCAGGGACACCACGGUUAUGAAAAAAUGACUAAUAAGGCUGUUGCAGGAAAUUUUCUAGGGGUUUACCUGCAAGUUCUGUACCUGAAAUGCAUGUUUAUUAUUUUGGGAUAGAUAAAGAAUGAGGGGACUGAUAUAGAAGAGCGAGAAACAGUCUAGAAAAGGGGAACAAGAAGAGAGAGAAAAACCUAGGAAAUGUAGUUCAGAUUGAAUAAACUGUGGGAACAGUGCAUUUUCUAGGUGUUGACCUCAAAGAGUUUCGACAGUUCUGAUUGCUGUAAUGGUGGUGUUUGGUUGUUUUUAAUUGUUCUUUUUUGUACGUAAUGUCAUUCUAGAAGGUAUCAUUUGUGCAAUUUGAUUAUGAAUUUUUUGAAUUUAUCUUAGUGUAGUUCUUGCGUGAUAUCUGCUCUGAUGGUUUUUUGUUUUACCUUUUCAUUGAAUAAAAGAAAAAAGAAAACCCCAUAGAUGAAAUUUUGAGUUAACACGAGAAAAAAAGGAAAAAGGGAAAAAGAUGACCAAAGUGGACCAUAUUACAUGAAUCCUGCAUUUGCAUUUGACAUAUCACUGUAUGAGUGUUUGAUGGGUGUGACAUGGGCAUGAGUGAGUACUUAGUGUGAAUUUUUGGAUGCACACUAAAAAUUGGCAAAGCUGCACAUACCUGUACAGACAUUUGUGUUUGAUGUGUACUGAUUCUGCCAUUGUAACACAGUCUAAGCAUACCUUGUCUACUCUUUGGAUAAGAUACUAAUAUGAAAAUAUUGCACUUACCUCUGUUUCAGUUUUAGCCCCGUGUGACGGUGUCCAACACAUUUAACAUCAACAAUAAGCCAAUGUUGUCCUCUUAUUAACCGAGAUACCAUUUGAAUAAAAAUUUUAAUUGCUGUACUGCCUACCAACUGCGAUACCCUUCUAUCUCACAACCUCCAUACUUUCUAAUUCAAAUGCUUAUGAAAAUCUAUGUUACAUGAACUCAGUAUGGGCACUCACAUUUUUUUAUUUGCCAAUUUUUAUGUAUCUGUAAUCGAUAAUUGGCAAGUUUUAUGUAUUCCCAACUUAUUUGGGACUGAGGCGUGGUUGUUGGUUGGACAGAUUUGCACGAGGACCACAUCACACCUAUUCUACACGGGUACAUAAAAUAAGUGAAGCAUCAAUGCAAUUUAGCUGAAAAUAUUAUAAUGAAAGAAAAAGUACAAAAUGACGGUAAUGAGACCUGCCUCCAGCUGGUCACCUCUGCACUUCUGGAUAACUUGAUCCUCAACCACUAGGUGUGAUACAAGAAACAAGAGGUCAGCAGUAGGUGAGGAGAAAGAUAUAUUUUAAGUAAUAAAAUGAAAUUUGAUGAGGUAGUAAGGACAAGUUAGCUGUUGAUAAAUUUAGUGGACCUUAAUUCUCACUCAAGCUGUUUACCGUUUUGUUGAAGUAAAUGUGGUCUUUUGUAAAUGAAAAAUGGCCUUUUGUAAUUGUUGGAAACAUCGCUAGGGGUCUUAAUGCAGUUAAUCCAAUAUUAGGAAUGAAGACAGCAACCUUUUGAUCAAAUGUGCCUCUAGCUUGUAUUUAAUCAUUUUUGUAAGAAGAAUAAAAGAAUUGUUUGCUACUCAUGGGGACUUUGAUAGUAAUGAGAUCAAAUAUUAUGUGCGGUAACUGACAUGCAAUGCUUGACAGACUGUACAUGAAGGUAAGAUCUAUCAGUUGAAACUAUUUUGUGGAAAGGAGUAUCCAGACGAGCCACCUGGUGUAAGGUUCCAGACCAGGAUUAACAUGAGUUGCGUAAAUUAUGAAACUGGUGUGGUAGGUACUAUUUCUAUUGACUUUAUAUGGUUUGAUAUUAAUAAAACAGGCUUAUGUGUGAGAACGUUUGUCAGGUAGGGCCAUGUCUUUUCCCGAUGCUUGCUGAUUGGAAGAGGGAAAACACAAUGGAGGAUAUAUUGAUGCAGUUGAAAAAGGAAAUGAUGUCUCCCCAAAAUCGAAAACAAUCUCAGCCUUCUGACGGUGAGUCAUCACUAGGUUGGUCUUUUAUACUUCUAUUUUCUCAAUGGAUAUAUAGGAACUAAUAAGACUAAAACAUAUUGGUUUUUCUUCACUGCUUGUUUAAUUUUUUAUUGUUUGAUAAGUAAUAAAUAAUGUUAUUAUUAGGAGAUCGAGCACUAAGCUAGUGCUACAAAACAUAGUCACAUAUUGCACGGUUCCUCAAUUGUAUCUUACAUAGCAUCAACGUCCUGAACAAAAGCUAGGUUGCACUGCUUGGUUCCUAAAGGGGAGCAUCUACGCGUCUGCAUAUUUGUUUUUCCCCUUCAUUCAGCUUGUCAUGUCUAUAUCUAAGUAUAUGUUGAGGCAAGUUGACUUAAUGUCUCAAUACGAGCAGUUUAGGUAAUGGUCUUUGUUGUUACGUCAAAUAGGACGUUGGAAAAGAAAAAUGAUCUGUACUUUCUUGUCAGGCAAUGAAGAGGGCCGGGUGGAUCAAAAGGGCUUAAUGGUGAAAUGCUGCAUUAUGUAAUUGGAUUAAAUACUGAAAGAUAAUAAUGUAUAUCCUUAAUACUUAGAUGAUUCCAGAUAUUGUCUUAGUAUGUAUAGAUACGUAUAUGCUUUGUACUUGUUAUUGAAUCCUCCUUAAUUAUGGGAUGGAGUGCUGUUUAAUGCCAAUUUUCCAACUGUGAAAAUAAGGCAAACUAGUUUCAUGACUUAAUCAUAUCCUGAAUGAUGCUCAAGUUCUUUUCUUUUUUAUGUUAUAUAAAAAUGCAGCAUAAUAUACAGAGUGAACUUUUGUAAAUGGAAUUAGUGUACUGGGGUUUAAUGGUAGAAAUCCAAUAUAGUUCUAACUCUACCAUACUUUGCUGAAGUUUUACAUACAAUUUUCAACUCUAUGAUAGUACUGUCCUGGGGUUUCCCUUGUAGGAGUAGAAACUUAAGGGACAAGUCUUGCUUUUGUAGAAGUAGAAACUUAGAGUCCAAAAAUCCGGAGAAAAAUGACACGAGGUAGCCACUUUUAAGCAUGCCGUUUAAAAUAUAUUUAUAUUUUAUAAUAUAUUUAAAAAUUAGCCAAUUUUUCUCAAACUUCAGGGCACGACAUCUUAGAUUUAAACCUCAAAAUUGAAACUUGAGGACAUCGUGUCCUAAAGUUCAAAAAUUGUGUCUAGAAGUUCGAAUUUUAUAUCUUGAAUUUUAAAUUAGUAGUUCAAAAAUUUAGGAUACUUAAUCUUGAAUUUUAAAUUAGCAGCUAAAAUUCAGGAUACUUAAUCCUCAAGUUUUGAUGAAUUGGCCAAUCUUUAAAUAUAUUGUAAAUUGUGGAUAUAUUUUAGGUACCGGGCUUAAAAGUGAUUAUUGCGUAAAAUUGCAUGUAAUAGCCACUAAUUAAGGGAGUCUUUAAUGUUUAUCCAGUAAUUAAAAUGCUCAGCGAAAAUAGCCACUACUAAUUGGAAAAAGACUGUUUUACCAUUCCUUCAAUGUUUAUACUCCCAAACCCUUAUUUUCUUUCAUUUAGACAAGGGAAAAUUUGAGAGCGAAUCUUUCUGGGCAAGUUUCUGUGUGCUCUCAGUACCUGUUUCAUCCUCGCAUGCAACAGAUUUGCAGUUAAUCUUUCUCGUUGUUCAUUUUCUCUGUCAUCUUCUCUGAAAAGAACACCGAACUGGUACUUUUAUUUUUUAUUUUUAAACAUUUUUGUUUAUAUCUGUAAUCGCGAUCAAUGCCAUGUCAAGUAUGUGUGAAAUUUCAAAAAUGUUCAUUAUAAGAUGUGUAAUCGCGAUCAAUGCCAUGCCAAGUAUGUGUGAAAUUUAAAAAAUGUUCGUUACAAGUUGAUCAGUGUCGUAUAAAUAGCGUAUAUUUGUGAUGUUAUUAUUCAGAAACUUUUGGUGUUGAAAUGUGAAAUAUGUUUGUGGUUGAUUCAAUAUAUUUGAUUAUGUAAGGUCAUUUCAUAAAAAUAGUUGUAGAAAUUCAUAAGCUUACCGUGUUUAGAAUUUUUAAUUAACUGUAUUCAUUAAAUGUAAGGAAGAAACAACAUUGAAUUUUGUAGUUGGAAUUCAAAGUUAAGGACUGAUUGUCCUUAACUUUUGUACAUGAAAUUGAAGUUAAGGACUAAGUGUCCUUAACUUUGUAAGUUGAAAGUAUAACUUAAGGUCUGUAUUUCUUUAACCUUUGCACUUACAACUUGAAGUUAAGGACUGAUUGUCCUUAACUUUUGUACAUGAAACUUGAAGUUAAGGACUUAAGUGUCUUUAACUUUGGAAGUUGAAAGUAUAAGUUAAGACUGUAUCUCUUUAACCUUUGCAUUCACAAUUUAAAGUUAAGGACUGAAUGUCCUUAACUUUUGCACAUGAAACUUGAAGUUAAGGACUGAGUGUCCUUAACUUUGGAAGUUGAAAUUAUAAGUUAAGGACUGUAUUUCUUUUACGUUUGCAUUUACAAUUUAAAGUUAAGGACUGAUUGUCCUUAAUUUUUGCACAUGAAACUUGAAGUUAAGGACUGAGUGUCCUUAACUUUGGAAGUUGAAAUUUAAUGUUAAGGACUGUAUUUGCUUAACUUUUAAACUUGAAAUUUUAUGUUUAAGUCCUAAACUUUGUUUGUUUAUCCUUCUUUUCUAGUGUUAAAACGGAAGGCAAUCGUUUGUUUGAAUUUGAUGAUUGGCGUAAUUUUCUUGUAUAUUGGAAAGGAGAUUUACAAUAUAAAGUAACAAUUAAAAAUUUUCUGGCGAAUACCCAAUGGAAGAAAUUGAUUUAAGUUUAAGUCCUAAUCUUUGUUUGUUUGUUCUUCUUUUCUAGUGUUAAAAUGGAAGGCGAUCGUUUGUUUGAAUUUGAUGAUUGGCAUAAUUUUCUUAUAUAUUGGAAAGGAGAUUUACAAUAUAAAGAAACAAUUAAAAGUUUUCUGUCAAAUACCCUAAUGGAAGAAAUUGAGGGAAAGUAUUUUUGGCAACUUCUUCAGACUACAAAGUGUCAAGUUUUCGGGUAAACUUAUGCACUGUGUAUUGCUUUCAAAAAUUGUUAGUAAUGAAUCAGAUUCGAUGAUAUUCAAGGUAUUUGACCAUGAUAUUAAGUUUAGUUGUGAUGGAUUCCAUAUUAUUACUGGUUUGAAGGUUUAUUCAUCCUUGACAUGAAAGGAUUAAAUGAGAAAGAGAAUAGGCUUUUAAGAGUCUAUUUCCCUGGAAAGGACAAGAUUGAGUUGGCUUAUUUGUGCAGUUUUAUUUCUAAUCGUCCAUGUGGUACUUCAUCAUCUGUUGGAAGUGAUGAUGAUGCUUUAAAGUUUGCAAUACUCUAUUUUAUUGAGUCGGUUUUGAUGGGCAACUUUAUCAUUUGUUGGCAUUAAGUUGGCAAUACUCUAUUUUAUUGAGUCGAUUUUGAUGGGCAAGAGGAAAAAUAGGUAUGUGUCGGAUCAGGUAAUGAAAAUUGUUGACGAUGACGAACUUUUCACUUCCUUCAGCUAGGUGCUCUCUUGCUUAUGAGACGCUUUUGAAAUCGUUGAAGAGCUGUUUGAAAUCAAAUGAGAAUGAUGUUGAGAAGGAAAAAGAGAAAGAAAAAGAAUUGAUAGCUAUACUUUAGUUGGCUUUCCUUUUGCGUUUGUGUCUGGAUUAUGGAAGUACUCCCUAUCUUCCAAGACAAACAAUUUGUGAACUUCAAAGAAGCUGGUUAUCCCCGAAUGUUGUGUUAUUCUAAAAUGAAGUCGCCACAAUUUGAUGCUCUUUGUAGAAAGUAUUUCCAUAAUGAGAAAGUAAGUUAAUCUAAUUACUAUCUCUUUUUUUAAAGUCUCCACAAUUUGAUGCUCUUUGUAAAAAGUAUUUCCAUAAUGAGAAAGUAAGUUAAUCUAAUUACUAUCUCUUUUUUUUGUUUUUUGUUUUAUUUUAGUUAUGUAUACUUGUGUUUAGUUUUUCUUAUAUAAUAGGUUUUUAAGUUGAUUGAGGUGUCACACUUUAUUUCUGUGGAAGAAGAAGAUACAAUGCCUCUUAGUGUGGAGGAGCCAGUUUCACAAGAUCGAAGCUUAAGGUCUUCUUCUUCACAAUUUGAUGAAGGCGUACUUAAAGAAAUUAUAGAGUAUAUGUUUAUGCCUUUGAAUAGUAUUAGUUUUUUAUUUGAUUGUUUCUUGCUGACGAAAACCCUUUUUUUAUAUUAUGUUUUUUGAUUCAGAGAUUAUCAGAGUGUUUUAAGAAGGAUUUGGAAGCAGAAGUUACCAGAGUUCAUUAGAAAAUUGCUGUAUCUGAAAAAAAGAUUGAGAAUCAAAUCAAUGUAAUUUCAGUUAGUCCAACUUUAGGAUUUUGUGGCCUUAAAUUUUGAACUUGAAAUUGAAAGAUAAGGACUUCUUGUCCUUAACUUUUGAAUUUGAAAUGAAACUUAAGGACAUCAUGUCCUUAAGUUUUGAACUUGUAGUUCAAAGUUAAGGACUGCAUGUCCUUAUGUUUUGAAUUUGGAGUUCAAACUUAAGUAAUGCUUGUCCUUAAGUUUUGACUUGUAAUUCAAAGAUAAGGACUACCUGUCCUUAAGUUUGAUUCCAAGUUCAAAACUUAAGGACAGGAAGUCCUUAAGUUUCAACUUGACUGUCCUUAAGUUUUGAACUUGGAAUUCAAACUUAAGUACUGGCAGUCCUUACGUUUUAAACCUGUCAUUCUCUUUGUAACUUAGUUGCUUUCUCAGGAUUUAAAGAAAACUCUAGGAUCAAAGCUUGAUACUUUGAUGAACAUGUUUGGGAAAGCUGAUCAGAUGAACACUGAUAGAGAAUCUAGUGUUCCAAUCAGAAAAUAUGGGGUUGAUGAUCAUUGUUGUGCUACUGAUCCUACUGGUAUAUCAAGAUGCUGGUGGUGUUGAACGUGAUCAUAUGGAUGUGCAUGUAGAGGGUCAGUAUGAAAGAGAAUUUAGAGAUGCACAUUUAGAUGAUGAAAAUUAAAAUCUUACUGAUAUUGGGAAAGGUUAGAUAUAGAUUUUGAUUUUGCUUUUUUUUUUUCGUUGAAAUGUAUAUUCAAUAGAUUAAUACAUUUAAACUAUGCAUGUGCAAUGAAAAUCUUAGUGAUAUUGGGAAAAGUUAGAUACAGAUUUGAUUUUGUUUUUUUUCUCGUUGAAAUGUAUAUUCAAUAGAUUAAUACAUUUAAACUUUGUAUGUGCAUGCAAGAGUUGAAGAUUUAAGAGAUUUUCAAAAGCAAGAGAAUCAACAAAAUAAAGGAGUGACAUAGAAAAUUUGUAGAGUUUGUGGAUUGCAAUCAUAGGAGGAUUUAAUAAGUCCAUUGGGGACAAGUUUCAGCGAGAUUGUAUGCAAAUUAAUAGAAGGAACGUAUGAUCUCUCUACCCCGCUACAAAGAAAAAUUUGGAGUUCAAACUUGUGCCGGUCAAGGUUAGAUAGAAUUUUUAUUAUAUAUUGUAUUUUUAUUUUUGUGAAAUAUUAGAAUGGGUAUUAAUUGCAAAUGUUACAGUAUCUUUUGAAGAAACAAGCGAAGAAGCUGGAGCAAGAGAGAACUGGACUACAAUCUCCAGACAUAGGUAGAAGUGACAUUGGUUCCAAACCUAUAGAUGCAACAUGUAAUGAUGAUGAUGUAACUGGAAUGAUCUUGGAUAUUGCAAAUGGUUAGGCAAUGCUUUUUGAAUUUUAUAUAUAUUUAUUUUAAUUAAAGAUUAUUUAAUGUAGCUGGAAUGAUCUUGGAUAUUGCGAAUGGUUAGGCAGUGUUUUUUUAAUUUUAUAUGAGUAUUUGUUUUAAUAAAAUAUUGCUAAAAUGUUAGCUCUUGUAAAUAUUUUUGUUGAAUCUUGUCAACAAGCAUCUCAACAUCAUGGUGGACAACUACAAGAUAAAGAAAAUGUGGAAUUGGAAGAAAAAGAAAAUGUUGCACGCAAUAUCUUAGCUGAAUUGUCUCUUGGAAAAACACAAGAAGGUACUGCGCAGAAGACAUGUACUGAUUGUGUCCUAAUUAUUAUAUGUACAACUGUAAUUUUGUCUAUUCAUUUGACCUAUUGCAGAAAACUAAUAUAUAUGUAUAUAGUAUCGCAAGCAGAGGAAAAGAAAGAGGACACCAGUGAUGACAAUCUUAACCAAUAUACAAGGAAAAGAAAGAGAGCUAGUAGUAUUGGUUAUGAUGGUCCAUCAUUUUCUCUUCUUGCUCCUACUCCUCCAAGUACACAAAUGGACAUUGAUGCGGCUUUGACUAUGGAGGGUGAAGGAAAUGUUGAAGAAGAACUUGGUCGAGGUAAAAGGAACAAGAAGUUAAGCUGGCAGUUAAAAUCUCACUUUGAUAAGGAAGGAAAAGCAGUAAGUUCCAAGGUAAAUAAUGAAAAUACUCUUAUGAGUUCAGAUUGGAUAAAAUUGAGAUCUCUUUUUGAUAAGGAAGGAAAAGCAGUACGUUCCAAGGCUAACAAUGAAAAUACUCCUAAAAGUUCAGGUUGGAUAAAAUCAACCUAUACUCGUAGGUGUAUUUUUCAUUAUGCCAUAGAAGAUGAAAUAUUAGUGAAGAAAUUCAAUGUGUGGUUGGGCAAGGAGAAAAGGAGAGGUCAGAAAAAAGAGUAAGUGUCUUAAUGUGUUUCACAAUUCAAACUUUAAUAUUUAAGUUAAGGACCAAGUGUCCUUAGCUUUUGAAUUUUGAAUUCAAACUUAAGGAUGAACAGUCCUUAUGUUUUUAACAUGAGAAUAUAACUUAAGGACCUCAUGUCCUUAACUUUUGAACUUGAAAUCCAAAGUUAAAGACAUAUAGUCCUUAAGUUUUUAACAAUUUCAGUCCUAAUGUUUUUAACAUGGAACUAUAACUUAAGGACCUCAUGUCUUUAACUUUUGAACUUGAAAUUCAAAGUUAAGGAAGACAGUCCUUAAGUUUUUAACAAUUGUAUAACUUAAGGACCUCAUGUCCUUAAUUUUUGAACUUGAACUUCAAAGUUAAGGACUCAUGUAGUUAAUGACAAACAAUCCUCAAGUUUUCAACAUGGGACUAUAACUUAAGGAUGUCAUGUCCUUAACUUUUGAACUUGAAAUUCAAAGUUAAGGAUAUAUAGUCCUUAAGUUUUUAACAAUUGUAUAACUUAAGGACCUUCUGUCCUUAACUUUUGAACUUUGAAAUUCAUGGUUAAGGACAGACAAUCCUUAUGUUUCUAACAUAGCAAUAUAACUUGAAUCUAUAAGUUAAGAAUCAAUUAUCCUUAGCUUUUGAACUUCUAAUUCAAAUUUAGGGACUGCCUGUCAUUAAUUUUUCAGCAUGAAAGGCUAAGUUUAGGGUUAAAUUCUAACUUGACAUUUUAAAAAUUUUCAGGGGACAAAAUGAGUUAUAUGCUGAUAAUAAUAGUUUGAGGAGAAAAUCUUACAAAUUGUAUCAUCAAAAAAUCAGUAGCAAAAUGUUCUUCCUUGAGCUUUCAGAUAGCAACUUUAUUCUUGAUGAUAAGGUUAGAUAAUUCACAAGGCAUUUAUUUUUUCUAUUAUUAAUUUAUCAUUUUUUAAUUAUUUUAUGACUGAUUUGUUUUAGUUUUUGCCUUUUUAUGAAGCAUAUUGACAUUGCUCUCUAUUAUCUGAGAAAGAAGGAAUGCUACCACCCUCAUGAUCAUCCUUUUCGAUGCACAACUAAUUAUUUUUGAUAAUUACAUGGUAUUUGUGUAUAAAGAUUUCAGUGAAGAUGCUAGUGAUGAGUUUUGGUGUGGUGAUAAUCAGUUAUUUCUGACACUAUAUGUGUGGGGGGACAGCUGUAGAUGUGGAAUUUCUUGGACUGAGGUUGACAAAAGCUUUUUUCCAUGUCGGCUUCCUUCAGAAAGGAAUGAACCACAUGGAAAUAUAUGCACGCAUGAUCUCCCAUUUGCUACAGUUCUCACGGUUUGACAAACAUCACAAGUCUUUUGGGAAUAUCUUCAACAAAUUUGAUAUAUCAUGGCAAAGAACACCACACCAAACUGGAUCGUACGUGUUUUUAUUUGUUAUAUUAUUUAUAUGUACAUAAGAUUUAUUGUUUAAUUCACUGCAUAUCUUACAUUUCUUUUAGGACUGAUUGUGGUGCAUUCCUGGUCAAAUUUUCUAAGUUGCUGAUGAUUGGAAAGGACGAGCAACAAUUCCAACCCGAAGACAUAAAAGACUUUCGAAAUGAACUUGUUGCAAAUCUUUGGGCACAUGGUGAAUGGAGAAUAAAUUUUGGUUAUGAUACUCCACCAGAAAAUGUUGGUGAUGAUUAUGAGAGUGAAAAUGAAACAUUCUGUCCAAAGAAGUUGUAAAGAAAUUGCAGUGUCAUUUUGUAUAAAAUUGCUGUAAAGGUGACAUCUGAAUUCUGACAGUUAGGAUAGUUCUAAAAUAUUAUGUAAAUUUGUGAAAAUGAACUUAUAUUUUGUUUUAUGACAUAGUGUAACUUUUUGUAACAGCUAUGAGAAAUUACAAUUUCAAAAGUUAGGUCAAGGCAUUUUGUUAUUUAUUUCGCUGUUUCUCUCAACUGUUGACUUUGUUAUUAUUUGUUCAUAACUAAGGGUAAGUGAACUUCAAAUUCAAAGUUAAGGAUCAAAGGUCCUUAACUUUUGAACUUGAAAUUCAAAGUUAAGGACCGACAAUCCUUAUGUUUUGAAAAUGGAAAUAUAACUUAAGGACCUCAUGUCCUUAACUUUUGAACUUGAAAUUCAAAGUUAAGGACAUACAGUCCUUAAGUUUUUAAAAGUUGUAUAACUUAAGGACCUCAUGUCCUUAACUUUUGAACUUGAAAUUUAAAGUUAAGGCCUCAUGUAGUUAAUGACAAACAGUCCUCAAGUUUUCAACAUGGGACUAUAACUUAAGGACCUUAUGUCCUUAACUUUUGAACUUGAAAUUCAAAGUUAAGGACCGACAGUUCUUAUGUUUUUAACAUGGGACUAUAACUUAAGGAACUCAUGUCCUUAACUUUUGAACAUGAAAUUUAAAGUUAAGGACCAAAUGUCCUUAAGUUUUCGAAAUUGUAAUUUGAACUUACUGACUCCUCUUCGUAACUUUUAAUUGUUGAACUCAAAAGAAAUGAAAAGAACUUAACACGAUAUAAAUAUUGUAAAUCCAGGCAUCUACUCAAAUUAGAAUAAUAAUGAUUUCUAUCGAUAGCAAAAACUUAAAAGAGUCGAUAAACAUAAUUGUAUAUAUCUACUCUUCUUUAUGCUUCCUUGAAAAUGGAUGGACUGCCGGAGAAUAUAUACAAGCUGUUAUUUUUGAUGGCUCGGUAGCAGAAAUAUGCCUUUUCUUUUGCCUUCUACCUGGUGGCACUUUGAAAUCUGGAGGUUUAACAAUUUGUGACUUAACACUCCCUGGUACAAUCCAAGAAUCAGUAUGUCCUAUAGGAUGUAUUUGUCUUUCAUAUGCUUUCAGCCAAGAUUCCUUUAAAUACCAGUGCAAACAAAAUUCGGGCUUCUUGAUGUUUCUCUUCUCAAUAGCUGCAAUUGCAUGUAUGCAUGGUAAUUCAUCAAGUUGAAAUUGAAGAUAAUCACAUGUUGUUUUGUUUAAGUCCACCAAGAAAGUUAUUCCUUCUUUUUCAACUCUAGAACGCCAUGAAUCAACAUGGAAGACCUUCAAUGUUGAAAAAUUAUAAGUGAGUACAUUAUGUUAAAAAAUGUUAAAAUUAUAAUAUAAACAUAGAACCUAAAACUUAUGUUAAAAGUAAAUGCUAAAUCUAUUCUUUUCUUCAAUUCCUCCUCUACCCAACAAGAAACAUCAGAAAAUGUUCCUUAUGCUUUAUUUCAUCUUUCAUAAAACCAAUGUUGUAGCUUCACUUGAAUGAAAUCCAUCAUUCUUAGUAUAGGCAGCUCCGUUGCUUUCCUGCUUUAUUUAUUCUUUCAUAAAACCAAUGUUGUAGCUUCACUUGAAUUAAAUCCAUCAUUCUUAGUAUAGGCAGCUCCCUUGCUUCUAAUAGCACUGAAUUCAUCGACUCAACUAUGUUUGUUGUGAGCAUGUCAUAUCUUCGUUGUGGACUACAAGAACGUUCCCUUCUUUCCGGUGGUUCUUCCAUCAUGUAGUCAUAAUUUUCUUAUCUACAUUUGCAAUAUCUGAGAUGUAUAGGUCAAAUUCUUCACGCUUUUAAACUCUUGCAGCACUUUGGAAAAGUUUUACGACCUCAUUUCUCACCUUUCUUUGCUUUAGGUUAUGCUCCAAAUGAUACAUGCAAAUCCCAUGAUGGCUUUCAGGAUAUACCUUUGUAAUGCCAUUUGCAAUAGCUUGAUGCCUAUCUGAUAAAAAAAUUAAAUUCUCACGGCUCCAAUUGCAUUGCUAAGCUCACUAAAGUACCACUCAUAGGAAUUGUUAUUUUCAAAUUUUGCUAUUCUAAAGGCUCCCAAUUGCAUUGCGAAGCUGACUAAAGUACCACUCAUAGGAAUUGUUGUUUUCAGAUUCUGCUAUUCCAAAGGCUAAUGGGAAAUUUGGUUAUUUGCAUCUUUUGAAACUGAAAUCAUUAAAACACCACGAUAUUUUGACUUCAAAAAAGUUGCAUCAACGGCAAUUACUAGUCUACAACGAUUCCAACCAUCUAUCGAUGAUCCAUAUGCGCAAAACAUAUAAAGACACCUGCAAAUACAAUAUAAAACAAAGUUAAAAUACGUGAAGUUUAGGACAGUCAGUCCUUAACUUAUAUUUACAAGUUAAUAAGGUUAAGGAUACUUUGUCUUUAACUUUUAUUUCAAAGUUCAAAACAUAAGGACUGGAAGUCCUUAACUUUUAAUUACAAGUUCAAAAUGUCCUUAACUUUUAUUUCAAAAUUCAAAACUUAAGGACUGGAAGUCCUUAACUUUUAAUUAUAAGUUCAAAACUUAAGGAUCGAAAGUCCUCAACUUCUGGUUACCACUCAUAAGUUAACAAGGGUAAAGACAGAAUGUGCUAAAUUGCUUACCUAUUGUUGUCGUCGUCUAUCUUUAUGUUGGUAUAAGUUCUCGGGUUCUUCAUUGUCAUCAUAUAAAAAUAUGAACACAAUACUUCAUAAUUUUUUUCGAGACUUCCUCUUAUUAAAGCGGAAGCACGUUGAAUAGCACGCCAUGCCUCGUGAUAUCCAAUGUCUAGUCCAUGUAUAUUUUGCAUCUCUGCCAUGACAAAAGCUGGUGUAACUUCAAAUCUUGGGUCCCGAAGAUUAUCGAUAAUGUAACCACUAAUCAACUUUGAAGUAGCAUGACUUUGAUCUGCUUUCCUUGUGUUAACAGAAUAGUGAUGCCUUUCUCAAGCUUUACUAUCUUGAAUAAUGUUGAAUCUUUAGUUCUAAAAGAACAAACACACCAACAACACCUAUCAUCAUUGCAUGUCAACGAAUAUCUUGUUGAACUUGAUCUUACAACUUUGAAUUCAAAAUGUCUUUUGAUUGCUAUAUUAGAAAACCAGUUAAUUAUGCUCUUCUUCUUGUCAAAUACUGAUCCCACUUUUAUUUCAUCCAAAGAAGCAUUUUCUCUUAAUAUCGUAGUUGGUGAUUCUUUUUGUUUCAAAUUUAAUCUUCGUGUAGUCAUUUGAGAGCAGGUUUUGUCAGCAACUUCUUCGAUUACUUGUGCACUCCCUAGGACUUGAAUUCCCAACGCUUGUUCGUUGUCAAUCUCUAUAAUCAGUUGGUGAUUCUUUUUGUUUCAAAUUUGAUCUUCAUCUAGUUAUUUGAGUGCAGGUUUUGUCAGCAACUUCUUCGAUUACCGGUGCACUCUCUAAGACUUGAAUACCCAAAACUUGUUCGUUGUCAAUCUCUGUCACGACCCUAGUUCACCAAUCGUGAACCUGUCAUGACAGCACCCAGUCUUUGCGACUACGUAAACCUGACACAUUCCGAAAAUUCAACAAUCUUUGCGGAAACGAUAAAUAAAACAUAAAUAGCAUAAGAUAAUGUGUAGAGUGCCGCCUGACACAUACAUGUCCACUCAAAAUAACCUUGUCCUUCUACUUGAAUAGAAUCAAAUGCUUGAUGCACGUCUUCAUUUAUUGGUUGAGCUUCAACCAUAUCUACUUCAACUAUUUUUGGCAUCGCUCCGGAUUGUCAUGUUGAGUUUUUGUGUUGGCAUCUUCAUUGCUUGUUGAUGCAAAAACUCUUUCAGANNNNNNNNNNNNNNNNNNNNNNNNNNNNNNNNNNNNNNNNNNNNNNNNNNNNNNNNNNNNNNNNNNNNNNNNNNNNNNNNNNNNNNNNNNNNNNNNNNNNNNNNNNNNNNNNNNNNNNNAUGUAUGAAGAUCUAAAUCUUUGGAUACAAGCAUUCCUUUGCUUGUUCCAAGGUUGAUAUCAAACCAUAUCACUAUUUCAAACUUUUCUCUAUCCAAUCUAAUAAGCUCAACAUCCGUUUAGCGAAAUCUUCAAACUGAAUUGACUCAGGUGCCAGGAAAAAAUUUGUUUGAUGAUCAAGAUAUUUUUAGUCUUCAGUCCAUCUACCAUUAAAAGAAACUAUUAGGCAUAUUGUUUCCAUCCUGCAAGUCAACAGUAUGGGAAACAAAGGAAAUAAUUAAGAACAUGUGUAGUGUAAGUGCAAGAGCAAGAUAAGGACUGCCUGUCCUAUACAUUUAAACAUGAAAUUUAAUGUUAUGGACUUCUAGUCCUUUACUUUUGAACAAGAAAUUUACAGUCCUUAACUUUUGAGGCAGAAAUUAUAACUUAAGGACUGCAGAAAUUAAAAGCUAAGGACUGGCAGUCCUUAACAUAUAAACAUGGAAUUAAAGGUUAAGGAGUCUUUAACAUUUAAACAUAGAAUUAAAAGUUAAUAACUUCCAGUCCUUUACUUUUGAACAAGAAAUUAAAACUUAAGGACUUGCAGUCCUUGACUUUUGAACCAUAAGUUAAAAGCUAAGGACUGCUCGUCCUUAACAUUUAAAUAUGAAAUUAAAAGUUAAGGACUACCAGUCCUUAAUAUAUAAACAUGGAAUUAAAAGUUAAGGACUACCAGUCCUUAACAUUUAGACGUUGAAUUAAAAGUUAAGGACUACCAGUCCUUAACUUUUGAACAAGAAAUUAAAACGUAUGAACUGUAAGUCCUUAACUUUUUAAUUCCAUGAUUAAAAGUUAAGGACUGGUAGUCCUUAAGUUUUGAUUUCUGGUUCAAAAGUUAAGGAAUGCAAGUCCUUAACGUUUGAACCAGAAAUCAAAACAUACAAUUUGAAACUUAAGCGACAAAACUUUGUACACAGAAGUCCAACAACAAAGUUAAGGACAUUGUGUCCUUAAGUUUUUUAAUCCAUUUUGCAAAAUAAGGCCAGUAGAAUCAAAGUUAAGGACAUUGUGUUCUUAGUUUUGAAUUCAAUUUCCAAAAUGAAGACACUAUGUCGGUAAUACAGAAUUAUCAUAGGAGGCGAUGUCCUUAACUUUAUUAAUCCAGAAAUUCAAAGUUAAGGAAAAAUUCUUAUCUACUAUAUAAUCAAAUCAACACAGAUCUAAAAAAGUAUAACUAUAUCGACAUAAAAAUCUAUAGAAACACAUUUAAGAAAGUUCUUAUCUACUAUAUAAUCAAAUCAAAACAAAUAAAAAAAAGUAUAACUAUAGCGAAAUAAAAAUCUAUAGAAACACAUUUAAGUAGAACUUACUGUUUAUCUAUGUCGUUUUUUGGAUUAGACUGCUGAAUUUUUGAAAUCGGAAGAGAAAUGGUUGUUCGCGUCAGUUGAUCGCCGCUUCUGUGAACUGCUGCUGCUGCUCGCUUCUGUUUGUGUAACUGCUGAGCGUAGGUAUAAGUUAUACUAGAAGGGUAUUUUCGUCUAGUCAGAUAUAAGUUUAUUAAAGGAGUGAUUGAAGUCUAAAUACAUUGAAAACAAUAGCUUUAAAAUAAAAGCCACUGCUUUUAAUCAGUCAGGUAUAAGUUUAUUAAAGGGGUGUCUAAAGUCUAAAUACAUUGAAAACAGUGGCUUUAAAAUAAAAGCUACUGCUUUUAGUGGCUAUUUGUGUCGUUCGCCGUUUAGUAAAAAUUAUGUGGGGUAGCCAUUUUUUAAAGAGGUAAUUACUUUUAUCCAGUAUUUUUAAUGCUUAGCAAUAGUAGCCACUAGUAUAUUAAAAUUAAUAUGAAAAGACCGUGUUACCAUUUCUUCUAUCUCUCUCAUGUUAGGGAAAAUUUCUUAGCUAUAACAGUGUUUAACCAGAAAAUAUAAUUUGGUCAAAGUUUGAAUCUAUAGAAAAGAAAUGGGGUUACUGAUAAUCUAGAGACCAAAAUAAUAGGCUUUCUGAGAAUAAAAAUAAAGCAAUAAGAAUUCAGUAUUUCAGUAUGAUGUCAAGAAUGUUCUGUGUGUCCCUACAAAUGAUAAAACUUCCUCCUUUUAUAGCUGACAAGGAGUAACUGAUUAAUAUAAAUAAUAAAUAGCAUUUAAUGCGACGUUACAUAAUCAUUACUAUUAAAUAUUCUUUAACUAACGUAUCAGGAAUUUAAUAAUGAAUGUAGACUACUUUUUGCUAUCAGAUUCUUGUCUUCGGUGUCCUUUUUAUUAAUAUUAAAUGACUUGAAUAGAUACGAGACUCGUAUCUAAGACUCCCUCUCGUGUCUAUUUUAUUGUCUCCUCUCGUGCCUGUUAUCUUUCGUGCCUUUUAAUCAUUUACUGCUUUUUGACUAUUUGACCAAUCCACGUGUCAAGCCACAUCAUCUUUAAUUUGAAUUCAGUUUUUUUCCAAUACUGAUAGUUCCCCCACUUCUCAUUUAUUUAUCAAUUAAAUAAUUCGUAAAUGGAUUUCCAUAAAAGAGAUUUUUUUUCACAAUUAAUGUGUGUGACAGUAUUGACGUCCCAUCUAUUUUUCUCAUUUAAUGCUCCAUACACGUGUCAUCUUUUGAUUGGAUCUGCAGUUUUAUACCCACUUUUCAAGGCUUGUUCAACUUCCUCUGUUUACGAAGUGAUAUUUAUCUUUAAUACAGGAUUUCUAUCAUUGCACUCCUUAAUUUUGACGGUUAUUCCCAUAUAACCUUUUAAUUUGCACUUCCUUUGUCAUCUUCUUCAUCAAUUUUCAUCAAGCAUUCCUUUUCCUGCUUUUACUUCUCCUCACUUCAAGCUUAUCUAAAAAUGGCAUCUCCAAACCCUAACCUUAGAAAGGUUCUACUUCUCGAUCAAUUUCCUAAUACACCUGCUCCGAUCAAACAUACAAGAGGCAGAGGAGGAAGACUUCGAAGUCUGGGAUCUACGCGUGGAGGUUUAACUGGUUCUACUCCUCAUUCUUCUAGUUCUGGCGUCAAAGGUUCCUCUUCUAAAUAUCCAUAUUAGAAAGGUAAAGAAGUUUCAGACCCUUCUCUAGAACCCACUGUUGAAGAAAUUAUACCGAAUGAUUUAUCUUUUGCAAGUGAUAGAACAUCUCUCCAAAAGCAAAUUGCGAAAUUGGAAAAAAUCGAUUCUUAUCCUUCUCUUAUAACUGAACUCACAAUCCCUUCCAUUAGAAAAGAUUGCAACUAGAAAGAGAGUGUUCGUUUAUCGUUUCCUUCCAUAAACUUCCGAUCCUUACCCUUCCCCUAUAACUGAACUUACAAUCCCUACUAUUAGAAAAGAUUGCAACUGGAAAGAAAGUGUUUGUUUAUCAGUUACUUCCAUAAAUCAAAGAAUUUCAUCUUAUUGGAAUGGAUUUUCUUUUGUUGACACCUAUCCCUUCACUUUGGGGUUCAAACCUGCCAUAGAUCCAGUUAUCCUCGAUUUCUAUAAGUUUUUCAACAUUUGCUUGGCUCAAAUUGGCCUUUUUGUAUGGAGGGCUGUAACUUGUUGAGAUUUUUGUCUACUAAGGCGAAAAUCAAUUUUGCGUUUUCCCAUGUUAUCCACUUGUACCAUCCUAGCCUACUACGCCAUGGGGUUUUUACCUUAACUGCAAGGAGUAAGAGAGUUUUGGUAAACGCCGAUGAUGAUAAAGAUCGUGGGUGGUAUCUUCGUUACAUUGCUGUUUGUACAGUGGAUUUGCUGGGAGAAUCAAACAUUCCCUUCCCUGAGAAGUAAAACUUUGCAUGUAAGUUUCUGCUUACUUUUCCCGUAUCUAUUUUCUAAGAUUUUGAUUUUAUCUUUUUUUAUUUUAUAUUUUGUAGCAACCAUUGGGAUGUGGAACCUAUUUCCAACUUCUGUGGUUGGGUAGAUUCGAUUUUGAAGAUUACUUCUAAGGAAGAUAGAACUUGGAAGUCUAUUUCUUCCUUACAUGGGUGGAUAGUGAAAACACGCGGUAUAUAUCUCUUUUCGUGUAUGUUUUCUAGAUAUAUAUAUUGAAUAAUAAACCCAAACCUUUAUUUUUAUCAGGAUAUGGAAUAAAAGGGAUGGCAGCAGAUGUCGUUUUAGCGUAUGUUUUCAAGAUACAUAUAAUAAAUACUGAUAACAAACUUAAAUCCUUCUUUUUGUCAGGGUUUGGAAUAAAUGGGAUGGCAGCUGACGUUGCUUUAGCUAUGCGUACUACUACCAACACUUCCUUUGGUUUGGGCAAGGCUAAACAUUAAUAGCUAAAAGAAAAGCUAUGGUAGUGGGAACUGAGAAUGAAGAAGAAGAUAAUACCUCAUUGGUAUCUAGAGCAAUAGCUAGGAGACAAGUUAUUAUUGAAGAAGCAACUGAAGAUGUUCCUGCUCGUACCUCUCUUUCUCGUAUCUCUUCUGUUAAUACUUCUUCUACCGAGCCUGUUAUAAUCCACUCCGACGAAGAUUUGGCUCCUAGAGAUACAAGCAAAUCUGUUCACCGUCUCUUUGUGAGUGGUUUUGAAAGUGGGGAACUUGGCCCUGUUCUUAAUGAAAUUCCUUUAUCUACUUCCAAUCCUACCUCUCCUAUUUCUUCCAUUCCUUCUCAAAUCGUAAGUGUUUCUUCCCCUUUGACAUCUUCUACAGCUCCUUCAUUUACUUUAAAUGCUCCUUCUCCCGUUCCUUUUUUAGCUCCCGUGCCUAUUCCUUCAGCUCCUGCUUUGGUUUCUACCGCUCCUGCUAUUUUCACCUCUUCUACUACUCCUCCUUCCACUGUUCCUUCUUCCUCUGUUUCUCAUUCUGAAUCUGGCCCCAAUAACAGAGGUAUGACUAUGAGAAAGGUUACACUUGAAGUACCUGCUACUCAUAGCCUAUUGAGGAAGACUGGUGGCGCUGAUGUUUGGUUCGAGCCUAUCAUUGGGGAUGUGGAGAACACGAAGAUGCAGAGCCACAACUUUUAUACUUUAAUGAAUGACAUAGUUCAUUCAACACUGAAGGUAACUUCCUUUAGCUUGACUAUUUUCCCUUCCUUAAUCUUAAGUUCUUAUUUCUGUGCCUUAUGUUCAUAGGCAAACUUGAUUGGAACCGAGCUAGUGGGGAGGAUCCUUAUUUUGGAGAAAAAGGCAUGUGAGUCUGCUAAGGCUGCUGUUGAUGCUAAGAGAAUAGCUGAAGAAGCACAACUUGAGGCUCAAAAUUGGAAGGAACAAUUUGAAGAUGCUUUAGGAAACAUUGAAGAGUUGCAAUCUUGUAAAUUUCAGCAGGAGCAGUCGAAUCGUGCUUUAUCCUUGGAGCUAGGGAUUACCACAGCUUCCGCAAGCCAAAAAACAUUGAAGAGUUGCAGUCUAGUAAAUUUCAAUUGGAGCAGCAGAAUCGUGCUUUAUCCUAGGAACUAGGGAUUACCACGGCUUCCACAAGCCCAAUAAAAAAGGAUAAAGAAAUUUUGAAGCACUCUUUGUCAAAAGCUAACGAAGAAAUCAAAGAACUCAAAGCAUUAAUGGAGAAAAAAGAAGAAUACGCUAAGGAAUUAGUGCAGAGUUUGAACCAGACUCGGGCUGAUUUGAAGGUUUCUUCAGAUAAGGUUCAUGUGUUGGAGAGUUCCUAUGCAAAUUUUCAAAAUACCCCCGAUUCCCACCUAGAUGAACAAGAAAUAAUGAAGAACACCCUUGCUGCAUGGGGAAGGGAUUAUGAAAGCUUGGAGAAGGAUUAGAAUUCUCUUGCAGAGAAUUUUAAUUAUGAGGUUAAUUAGGCUUUCUUAAAGUCUCGUCGUGAUGCUUUAAUGGAAGCUUCUCAAGAAAAUAUUAACUUACAAUAUGAGUUGGCCAAAGUUUUAGACAUGAUUGAGAAGAAUGAGCAACCUAUUGAAAUCCCUUCUCCUGAUCAGCUAAUUGACAUUUCCUCUCCAACAGUUCGAACUCCCAGGGUAGGGGUGUAUUCUGGCCCGGGCACGUGCCUAAACAGGCCUGACGUGUCGGGCUUCGCAGUCGCGGGCUUCGUGUGCAGGCCUGGCGGUCCCGGCGGUUGAGACCGGCCCAUGACGGGCCUAAGCCCACAGUGGUCUUGGGCCUGGCGGGCCUGGCAGGUUUUUUUAAAGCAAUAUCUUGUAUAGUAGUUAUUAGUAUAGUGUAGAAUAUAUUUUAUAUGCUGGGCCUGGCGGGCCGGGCCUGGCGGAGGUUUUUUUAAGGCAAUAUCUUGUAUAGUAGUUAUUAGUAUAGUAUAGAAUAUAUUUUAUAUAGUGUAAUAAGUUAUUAGUAUAGUAUAUAUAAUAUAUAUUUCAUUGUAUAUUGUGUUGUAGUAAUUAGUAUAUAUUGUAUAUUAUGUAUAUAUUGUAGUGUAGUAAUUAGUAUAUAUUGUAUAUUAUUUAUAUAUUGCUAUAUUACGUAUAUAUUGUGUUGUAGUAAUUAGUAUAUAUUGUAUCUAAUGUAUAUAUUGUGUUGUAGAUUAGUAUAUUAUGUUGUACUAAUUAGUAUAUAUUGUAUAUAUAUUGUAUCGCUUGUGUAUAAUGUAUAUAUAUUCUCUUAUAUUAUUGUAUCUUAUGUAUAUAUGUUAUUACUUAUAUAUUUUCUUGUAGUUUAGGUUGUACAUUACGUAUAUAUAUUCCCGUAUAUAUUUUAUUGUAGUAUAUAUUGUAUGUUAUAUAUUCAUUCAAGGAUAACAUAUCGAAGUAAAGAGAAAGAAAUAUUGAGAAGAAAGAUAUUCAAGGAUAUGUCUUAUAAUUUUUAUUGACCAAAAUGACAUAUCUUUCUUAGUCUUCCUUCCCCCAAUGGAAUGAGCACAACAAGGUACUAAUACCACCAUUAAAAGAAAACAAAAACUAAAAGAAGAUGUGUCAAUAUACAAGUUACAUCAUAAUCUACAUUGUAUCUCUAACAAAUCUCAUAAAUCCGGCAAGUUUGGGAGGAGGUUUUGUUGGUGGUGGUGGAAACGAAGUUUGUUCAUCACCACUUCCAGGGGAAGCCGAAUCCUCCGAAGUUCCUCUAUCAUUUCUUUAUAAGCUUCAUCUAUCGCCGGUUGUGAUUCUGCAAUUCCGAAGUUUCUUCUUUCCGCGCGGAUCCAAUCUCUAGAAAGCACCGAUUUUUCCAAACUAUCCCUCAUCGCCGAUCUAUGAUCACUGAUUUGUAGUCUUGCUUGAUUGAAAGCGCUCUCCGAUGCAACAGUUGAAGCUUGAAUUGAUAANNNNNNNNNNNNNNNNNNNNNNNNNNNNNNNNNNNNNNNNNNNNNNNNNNNNNNNNNNNNNNNNNNNNNNNNNNNNNNNNNNNNNNNNNNNNNNNNNNNNNNNNNNNNNNNNNNNNNNNNNNNNNNNNNNNNNNNNNNNNNNNNNNNNNNNNNNNNNNNNNNNNNNNNNNNNNAUUCUCCUUUUCAAGUCCCUGAGACAAGUAAAUUUGAAGCUCAUUUAGAUGUGAAGUUUCAUCAUAAUUAUCACCUUGAGAACCCCGGAACUCCGUCUAAGUGUAGCGAUUUCCUCUAUGGCUUUAGAUGGCCUAGCAUGCUCUAACGCAACUUUAUAAGCAUUAUAAACAGUUUGAGCAUUAAUUUAAUUGAUGCUUUUGCAUCUGCAAGUGUAGCAAUUUCCUCGUUUGAAAGAUCUAAAGCCUUNNNNNNNNNNNNNNNNNNNNNNNNNNNNNNNNNNNNNNNNNNNNNNNNNNNNNNNNNNNNNNNNNNAAGCCUUAUAAAUAUUAGAAUACCAAAAAUGAGGACCUCCCAAUUUCAUUGUAGGAUUUAAUAUUGCAGCAACACCAAAAAUAGGAGGGAUAGAGAAAACAUAUUUUUUGAAUUUUUGUUUCAUUUCAUUUAUAGCAAGUUCAUAAAUAUCCCCACCCUCACCAAAUUCAACAAACAAAUCAGCUAAUGCGGCAAUAUAAACUAAAUAGUUUGAAAUAGUAGAAUAAUAUUGCCCAGAAAAUGAAUUUGUAGCAACUUGAAAAUGUUCUAAAAAAUCUAACAGAAUUUUAACAUUCGUCCAAUCUUGGGUAGUUAGCAUUUCAUCAUCAUCCUCACCACCUACCCGAGAAUUAAACGUUGCAUUAAUUGGGUUUCUAUUUUCAUAUGCAACUACUAAACUUUCGUACCUACAAUUCCAUCUAGUCGGGCAAGGUUUAGGAACCUUUCUUUCUUUAAGACCAUAUUCAUCACAAUUUUUAAAAUACUCUCUAAGUCUAGUUCUAUGGUUUGAAUAAAAAAGCCAAUUAAGAGCCAUUCGAACCUUUUCAAUUUCUAUGUUUAAAAUUCGCAUUUAAAUACUCUCUAGGUCUAGUUCAUUGGGUUGAAUAAAAUAUCCAACUAAGAGCCAUUCGAACAUUUUCAAUUUCUAUGUUUAAAAUUCGCAUACCAUCACAAACAAUUAAAUGAUAAAUAUGAUAAAUACAUCUAACAUGGAAAAUAUUACUAAAUGUAGGAUUUAGUGUUUUUGUAAGCAUGCCUANNNNNNNNNNNNNNNNNNNNNNNNNNNNNNNNNNNNNNNNNNNNNNNNNNNNNNNNNNNNNNNNNNNNNNNNNNNNNNNNNNNNNNNNNNNNNNNNNNNNNNNNNNNNNNNNNNNUAUCCAUAUAAAUUGCCAUUAUUUUAUCGCUAAAGCAAAAAUAUCUACAAAUAUCUGAAACAGUGUUAGCUAUAAACCUACCCGUGUGACAUGAAUUAAUAAUUCUAUAUGCAAUUAUACAUUUUUGCAUUGUCCAGUCCUCAUCUAUCCUAUGACUUGUAACAGUUAUAUAAUCACAAUCAUUAUUACUUCUACCAAUAUUAGUAGUAAUAGAAAUCCGAUUAGGUAUAUGAGUAAAUAAAUAGCGCAAAUAUUGUUCAUAUUCAUGUUUGAAUUNNNNNNNNNNNNNNNNNNNNNNNNNNNNNNNNNNNNNNNNNNNNNNNNNNNNNNNNNNNNNNNNNNNNNUAUGCCGCUACGGUCUCCAGUAAAUUUAUGAACAAGUAAUUUCCCAAAAGUUUUACACUUAGCCUUAUUUUGUUCUCUUACCUGAGUAAAAAAAUUCCAAACUAAUGAUGUUUCUGCAUGUUUAGCAGGUUGUCUACUAAAAUUUGGAGUUUCUAUAGGUGGGUGUGCCGGUGCAUUACUUGAGUUAUCUUCCUCUUCACCCAGAGACCGACAUCCAUCACUAGNNNNNNNNNNNNNNNNNNNNNNNNNNNNNNNNNNNNNNNNNNNNNNNNNNNNNNNNNNNNNNNNNNNNNNNNNNNNNNNNNNNNNNNNNNNNNNNNNNNNNNNNNNNNNNNNNNNNNNNNNNNNNNNNNNNNNNNNNNNNNNNNNNNNNNNNNNNNNNNNNNNNNNNNNNNNNNNNNNNNNNNNNNNNNNNNNNNNNNNNNNNNNNNNNNNNNNNNNNNNNNNNNNNNNNNNNNNNAUUAUGGCCACUACUUUCACCGGUUUUACCUUUUCCUUUACCGAACAUUUUUUCAAAGAAAAUGCCAUACUAAUUAGAAUUAUGCAAACUAAACAAAUAACACCACAGCCUCGAGUUCCUCUAUUGUCAUUUGGAUGUUCUCAUUUUCUUCAGGUUCUUGAAUUACACCAGGUCUCGAAUCUAAGUCCGUUUUUUCAGUUGAAGUUUGGCUGCUGACGUCUUCAACUACUUUCAGUAAUUGCUAUUUCUCUUUACUCGCGGUACUCGUAUCUGUUAUUGCGUUGAUACUCUUNNNNNNNNNNNNNNNNNNNNNNNNNNNNNNNNNNNNNNNNNNNNNNNNNNNNNNNNNNNNNNNNNNNNNNNNNNNGAUUCAUCUCUUGGCUAUUUGUUGAUCCCCUCGAAUUUGACAUAUUCCUCAGGGUGAUGGAAAUUUGAUAACUUGAUGUAAGGUUGACGGAACAACAUCCAUAUCAUGGAUCCAUGGUCUCCCCAUAAUUAUAUUGUGUGCCAGUUCUAUAUCAACUACCUGAAAUUUAGUUUGUUUAAUAAUACCUGCAGCAUAAGUCGUCACAAUUACCUCGCCUUUUGCUACCAUGCUUGAAUUGUCGAAGCCUGACAAAGCAUGCGCCUUAGGUAUCAUUUUAUCUUAAGCUUGCAUUUACCGCAGUACUCUUAGUUGAACGAUAUUUAUAGAACUUCCUGGAUCAAUCAAAACUCAUUUUACAUCUGUGUCAUGUAUAAUUAAAGAUAUUACCAGAGCGACGUUAUGAGGUGUAAUCACUCUUUCUGUAUCUGCAUCAUUGAAGUUUAUGCUCUUAUUUUCUAAGGUUUGUUGUACUCGCUUUUUGUGUGUGAUCGUCAUUUUGGAAACUUUGUUUGAAGCCGUGUAUGUUACUCCACAUAUAUCUUUCCCUCCACUGAUGAAAUUUAGUGUUCUCUUAGUUGAAGGUGGUUUCGGUAGCUCCUGCCUAUUUUUCAUGUAGGCUUGCUUUCUCUUUUCACUAAGCAGCUCCGUGAGAUAUCCUUGCUUCAAUAAAUGAUCUACUUCACUAUGUAGAAACUGGCAUUCUGAUGUUUUAUGUCCGUGGUCGUUGUGAAAUUCGCACAAAUGGUCUGUAUUACGUCUGAUUUGACCGCAUCUCAUUUGGCCACCGUACCUUAUCAUCCAUACUCUUUAGAACAGCUACGAGCUCGGAAUUAGUUACAUUGAAACUAUGACCAUAAAAUCGUGCCAUUAAAUUCCUAUCAUCUCGUGGCUCUUGGUUGUUUCGAUCGCCUUUUAACCUGGAUGAAGAUCUGGUUCCCCUGUCUCUCGACCUCUGAUCAUAAUGUUGAUUGUUCUGACUAGAACGUGGGUCCUUUCCUGCAGGUCCCAUAUAUGGAUCCUACCUGUUCUUACCUGAACUUUUUUGGCUUCAGAUCUUCUGGAACCCGCUCCUUUCUUCUCGAUGAGGUUGAGAUACGGUAUCUUCCUCAACUCUGAGCUUUGUACUGUACGUGUUAUAAACAUCGUUCCAAGUAGUUGCGAAAAAUUCGCUAAGGCUUUCUUUAAUCCUUCUCGUGGCUUCUGAACUUUUAUCAUUCAAAUUACUCGCAAAAGCUAUUGCUGCCCAAUUAUCCGGUAUACGGGGCAGUAUUAUUCUUUCACGUUGGAAUCUAUCAACGAAAUCUCUGAGCAAUUCAGAGUUGCCUUGCUUUUGAAGAUAUCUUCCAUUCUUUUUUCAACCUUCUGAGCUUCCGAAUGUGCUCUAAUAAAAGAAUCUGCAAGCUCAACGAAAGAAUUUAUAGAAUUUUUAGGUAAAAGAGAAUACCAGGUUAAUGUACCCUUAGUGAGUGUCUCCCCAAAUAUUUUGACCAGCACUGAUUCAAUUUCUUCUUCAGUCAAAUCGUUGUCUUUUACUCCUAUUGUAAAUGCAGUUACGUGAUCACGAAGGUCCGUUGUACCAUCAUAUUUUGGGAUGUCAGGCAUUUUGAAUUUCAUUGGAAUUGGUAGGGAAGCAGCACUUGGUUUUCAAGGUUGCUGCGAGUAUUUAUCCACAUCCACUCCUUUUAUCACAGGUGGAACUCCAGGGAUUUGCUCGAUACGCUCGCUCUGCUCCUUGAGUUGUUUCUGCAAGGUUAGUACUAAAUUUUGAAGAAAGAGAAUUACCUGCAUUACCUGGUUCUCCUUCUUGUGAGUCACUGGGAGUUGCUUUGCCAGGAAGGGUUUUCUAAUGUGUUGUUGUUAGGCGUUGCUGGUACGGCGGGCAAUCGACUGACUAAAGCUUGCAAGGCUUUUUCAAUUCGUGAAUCGAUUAUUUUCUUUAAAAGUUCAUCUCUUGUUUCAGCUCCUCCGCCAACAUGUUCAGACAUAUCAUUUGGAGUUCCUUCACGAGAUCCAAGUGGAGAAGCUUGAGGGUUAACAUUGUUGAGUUCAUCAUCAUCCACUUGAUGGAUCUGAUUUUCCUGGUUAUUAUUGUCAUUGUUGUUUGACAUAUUGGCAGUAGGUUGAAUGUUAUUUUAGAAAGAAUGGAUUAUCAGAUACCCGGUAAUGGAACCAAUUUGUUUAACCAAAAGAUAUAAUUUGGUCAAAGUUUGAUUUUAUAGAAAAGAAACCGGAUUACUGAUAAUCUAGAGACUAAAAUAAUAGCCUUACUAAGAAUAAAAAUAAAGCAAUAAGAAUUCAGUAUUUCAGUAUGAUGUCAAGAAUAUUCUGUGUGUCCCUACAAAUGAUGAAACUUCCUCCUUUUUAUAGCUGACAACGAGUAACAGAUUAAUCUAAAUAAUGCAGAGCAUUUAAUGAGACGUUACAUAAUCAUUGCUAUUAUAUAUUGAUUAACUAACAUAUCGAGCAUUUAAUAAUGAAUGUGGACUACUUUAUGUUAUCAGAUUCUUGUCUUCAGUGCCCUUUUAAUCCGUUAAUAUUAAAUGACUUGAAUAGAUACGAGACUCGUAUCUAAGACUCCCUCUCGUGUCUAUUUUCUUCCUGUGCCUAUUAUCUUUCGUGCCUUUUAAUCAUUUACUACUUUUUGACUAUUUGACAAAUUCAUAUAUAAUACCAUAUCAUUUUUAAUUUGAAUUCAGUUUUUUCCAAUACACACAGCUCCAUCUUGAUAUACGCAAACAGCUUAAAUAACGACACCAACUUCAAUGCUCGUUGCCUUUACACCUCUAAAUAGCAUCCCUAAUCCCACUGUGAAUCUGUACGAUUUGAAAGAAAAAGAGGAACAAAAGGAAAAAAACAAAAGUUAGUGCAAACCUUAUUGAAUGACUAGAAUUUGAGUUAUUAUUGCAUUGAAAUCAGAUACAAGCAAGCAGUGGAUUUGCCAAUAAAAAUUUUUAAUUAACAAUUGACAGAGAAAUCUAUUACUUGCAUGGUAGUACUGUUACUACACUACACAGUUUCCCAU
rnacentral:lncRNA from 1 species